CUUCUAAUAGCAAGAUGACUCUCAAAUUGUGUUUUAUAUUCAGAAACAGCUAGUUUUUAUAGUUUAUAGUAGCGUCUUUCAUUUAUCCUCAGCAAGUAGUCAACGCUAAUGUGUUAGCUUAGCAUAAAAUCUGCAGACAGCCGGUGGAUAAGCUAAUCGUGUUAGCCUAUUGCCUAACCACAACAAUGCAAGACAGCAAGAUGGUCAGCCUUGCUAGUUGGAUUAAUUUAUGGGAAGCAGAGAUAUGAUUAUCUGAAGCCCAUUGCUGCUGAAGAAAGGAAGGUUGAGGAGGAAGAGAAGAAACUCAGGGAAGAACAAGAGCGCAUUUACA